rnacentral:rRNA from 1 species
GAUGAACGCUGGCGGCGUGCCUAAUACAUGCAAGUCGAGCGAACAGAUUAGCGGCUUUCUCCUCUGACGUUAGCGGCGGACGGGUGAGUCACCCUUGGAUAACCUACCUAUAAGCCUGGGAUAACUUCGGGAAACCGGAGCUAUUACCGGAUAAUAUCUUGAACCUCAUGUUUCAGUAGUGAACUACUUUUUUGCUGUCACUUAUAGAUGGAUCCGCGCCGCAUUAGCUAGUUGGUAAGGUAACGGCUUACCAAGGCAACGAUGCGUAGCCGACCUGAGAGGGGGAUGGGCCAAACUGGAACUGAGACCCGGCCCAGACUCCUAGGGGAGGAGCCGGGAGGGAAUCUCCGGCAAUGGGCGAAAGCUUGCCGGGCCAACGCCGCGGGGGUGAUGAAGAUCUUCGGAUCGUAAAACUCUGUUUUUAGGGAAGAACAAAUGUGUAAGUAACUAUGCCCGUAUUGACGGUACCUAAUCAGAAAGCCACGGCUAACUACGUG